UGAUCCAGUCCUUCUCACCUAAACAUUCUAGCUAGCUUCAGACUAGCACAAUCCCAUCCAUCCCAGCACAACCCAGCGCAGCCGAGGAUACCCCAGUAGGCCACCACACACCAGGACUGGAACUGCUGGUGACAUCCUUGUCCUGUGCCUCUCCAGCAGCAUGAGGAUCAUCCCUGGAUGACCGCACCUGAUCCCCUGGGAGCCCUGGCCCAUGUCUCUGCCAUGAUAAUAAACUCCCUCAGCAAA